CGUGGGUAACCUGCCCAAGAGAUCGGGAUAACACCUGGAAACAGAUGCUAAUACCGGAUAACAACAGAUGAUGCCUAUCAACUGUUUAAAAGAUGGUUCUGCUAUCACUCUUGGAUGGACCUGCGGUGCAUUAGCUAGUUGGUAGGGUAACGGCCUACCAAGGCGAUGAUGCAUAGCCAGUUGAGAGACUGAUCGGCCACAUUGGGACUGAGACACGGCCCAAACUCCUACGGGAGGCAGCAGGU
rnacentral:rRNA from 1 species